UACGGGGGGGCAAGCGUUGUUCGGAAUUACUGGGCGUAAAGGGCUCGUAGGCGGCCAACUAAGUCAGACGUGAAAUCCCUCGGCUUAACCGGGGAACUGCGUCUGAUACUGGAUGGCUUGAGUUUGGGAGAGGGAUGCGGAAUUCCCGGUGUAGCGGUGAAAUGCGCAGAUAUCGGGAGGAACACCAAUGGCGAAGGCAGCUCGCUGGGACGGUACUGACGCUGAGGCGCGAAAGCGUGGGAGCAACAGG
rnacentral:rRNA from 1 species